rnacentral:rRNA from 1 species
UACGGAGGGUGCGAGCGUUGUUCGGAAUUAUUGGGCGUAAAGCGCUGGUAGGUGGCUUGUUAAGUCGCGUGUGAAAGCUCCAGGCUCAACCUGGAAAGUGCGCGCGAAACUGGCGAGCUUGAGUGCCGGAGAGGGUCGCGGAAUUCCCGGUGUAGAGGUGAAAUUCGUAGAUAUCGGGAGGAACACCAGAGGCGAAGGCGGCGACCUGGAAGGUAACUGACACUGAGCAGCGAAAGCGUGGGGAGCAAACAGG